AAAUCUUGGGUAUUACCACACAAAUACAAACACUAGCUUGAUUAACUAAUUCGAUUUACUACCCGAAACUAACACGGGUGGGUAGGUAGAGAAUACCUAGGGGGCGAGACAACUCUCUCUAAGGAACUCGACAAAAUAGCUUUGUAACUUUGGGAGAAAGGGUACCUCCUCACAAAGGGGGUCGUAGUGACCAGGCUCGGACAACUGUUUAUCAAAAACACAGGUCUCCGCAAAGUCGUAAGACCAUGUAUGGGGGCUAACGCCUGCCCAGUGCCGGAAGGUCAAGGAAAUUGGUAACCUGAUGACAGGGGAGUCGGUGACCAAAGCCUCGGUGAACAGCGGCCGUAACUAUAACGGUCUUAAGGUAGCGAAAUUCCUUGUCGGGUAAGUUUCGACUCCACGAAAGGCGUAACGAUCUGGGCACUGUCUCAGUGAGAGGCUCG
rnacentral:ncRNA from 1 species